UAACGCGUGAGGAACCUGCCUUUCAGGGGGGACAACAGCUGGAAACGGCUGCUAAUACCGCAUAACACAUAGGUGUCGCAUGGCAUUUAUGUCAAAGAUUUAUCGCUGAGAGAUGGCCUCGCGUCUGAUUAGCUAGUUGGUAGGGUAACGGCCUACCAAGGCGACGAUCAGUAGCCGGACUGAGAGGUUGGCCGGCCACAUUGGGACUGAGAUACGGCCCAGACUCCUACGGGAGGCAGCAG
rnacentral:rRNA from 1 species